UUGUUGACUAGCUCGAGUACUGCAUAUUGUGAGCUGCCGAUUUAAUAAGACAAAUUAUCAAUAUAAACACAUUAUACAAUAUGAAUUCAAAUUAUAACUUGUACCGGUACUAGAAAAAUAAUCUGAUGUGAACCUUUUACAAACUAUAUUUGUCAAUGCGAGCGAAACUCUAGUGUUGGACCUCACUUAGGGAAAUGAGAAAAAGAAAACAUAAUUUUGUUUGUAAAUGUGUAAGUAAAAAAGAAAUCUUAUCAUUAGGACAAGGAUUUGUAUAGUAAGAUGCUACUAUACAAAUCCUUGAUUAGGACUACAGCUAUAAAAUAUUUGGUACAAAAGUCAAAAUAUGAUUACGUUUAUAUAGACAUUGCACCUACAUAAAAAUUAAUUUAAUAUCCAAAUGCAAAAUUAUGCAAAUCUUUGUUCUUUAAAAAAAUACAAUAUUUAAAGUUCAGGCUAGAACUAAAUACAUUAAGAUGUCACUUAACAAUCCCAAUUUUUUGGUGCUAAAAUUCCUACGCCUACAUGUACAUGUAUUACACAUACGCAAGAAGACAAUCAAUUCCUGUUAUACUUUUAUGCCUAGGGAAUUAUUACAUACAAUAUACAUGAAUACAACUCAAAAGCAUAAACAUAUACACAUAAAGAAAUUCAUUAUAAUGAUAAUUAAUUUUGGCCAACUAAAUUAGAGUCAACUCAAAUAUGCAUUUUGCAGUGCAGACAGACUGGAAACCAGCAUUUAAUCAAAGGAGAAGGCUCACGAAGGCUUAAAUUGGCCCUGAAUUUGUUUGUUAAAUCGGGCCAAAAUAUUACAAAUUUCACAUAGAAAUACUUGUGAUAAUACUAUCCAGACAAAAAUAUUUUGUCAAGCACUUUUCUUUACAAUUUAUGGACCUAUGACCUCUUAAAUAAACAUAAUUUUGGUACUUUUUUCUAUAAUUUUUAAUUGUUUUUGGCAUAAUUAACCUUGGCUGCCAUCUACGAUCCAAAAAGUUUUUAUAUUGAUGAAAUCUAUAUCAAAAUUGGAAUCUUUUGGUUACAACACAUUUUGAAUCAUAGGUGGCAGCCAAAGUGUUUUUAAAGUUUUUAGGUCUGAAAAAUGCACAAACUCAUCAUAUUUUGACAAAAUCUCCAAAAUGGGCUUACUUUGGAAGAAUAUUAUGUUCUCUUAUGAAAAAAAACUGAUAUAUUUAGCAUUUAGACUUUUGAAAUAGACCCAUUUACGAACCAAAUUGAGACCUUUGUGGUGUUUUAUGAUAAAGUUGAUAUUUUAGGCCAUUUUGUGCCAUAAGUGAACCUUGUUCUUUGUAAUGCAAUACAAUACAAUAAUCUCAUAUACAUAUGCAAACAUCAUAUAACACAGUAAUAGUAUAUAUAUACUAGUUAGUAGUUUACACACAGCUUGGUGAACAAACAAAAUAUACUUCCAGCAACAAUAGUAUAAAUUUAUUAACAUUCAAGAAUAUUCCAAAUGUUAAAUAUCAUAUUUUGAAUACCCGUCAUAAACAGACACUCGCCGCCCAGGAAAAACCAAAUAGUUUGGAAACCUGCGUCACGGAGCAAUGCAAGAACCGUCUCUGGGUAAUGAUGCCGUACUCCAUCAUGAUUAUAAUUAUACAAAAAGAAAAAUUUUUAUACAUAAAAGGAAGUUUUAACUGUACGAUGUCUACGGCUAGAAUGACCACCUAGACAAUUUUUUCACAAACCAGUGAAAAACAAAUUAGCAUAACAAAACAUUAGGUCACCUGACAGAUCAAAUCAUACAUCAUUGACACAUACAAAAUAUGAUAGAAACUUUAAGACAGUAUUUUUUCGCUAUACUGCGAAACGCUGAAAAGUAUAUAAUUACUUGUAAACUGUAUUUAAAACGAGAUUAAAUGAAUAUUACUAGUGGAAAAAUGUUGGAAACCUGCUUUGAAACUAAUUGCUUGGAAGAACUGUUAGGAGGUAUACUUUGGACAAUAUAAAAAAAACUUUGGACAAUAUAAAAAAAAUAGAGGCUCUAAAGAGCCUGUGUCGCUCACCUUGGUAUAUGUGAAUAUCAAACAAAGGACGCAGAUAGAUUCAUGACAAAAUUGUGUUUUGGUGAUGGUGAUGUGUUUGUACAUCUUACUUUACUGAACAUUCUUGCUGCUUACAAUUAUCCUUUUAGGAAAGGUUAGCUAAAAAGGAGAAAAUCAAAACAAAAUACACGAUCAUGUUGAAAUAUAUAAUUUAGAGUAUAUAAGAAACUUGACACCCUGGGUAGCGCUAUAUAGAAAGUGAAGGUUUUCAAAAUAUUUUCAACCAUAAUUCUUUGAAACACAAGCAAAAUUUAAUUAUAAUACAUCAUGCUACAAAAUACCUAAAUAACUAAUCUGCUUCUGCUAUAUUAAAAAAUAUCAAAAUGAAACUACAUUUUUUGCCACUGUAGUAUAUCAUCUUACAAUUAAUUUAGGAAGAAAAGGAUUUAAUUACACCAAGGAUAAGGUCACUUAGGUAUUAUUAGGAAAAUAUUAGUUGUACAAAAUACAUUGCAGGAUUAUUGAUUCAUUCUUAUUUGCUGCAUUGCAGCACUCAGUCUGGUUGUUGGAAAAAAGCUAGAAAAUGACAGUUUCAGGCUGGGCAAGCAUAUUUUGUGUGGCACAUGUCACAUAAGCAAAUAAAUAAUUUUGAUACAAUACAAACAAAGCUAUACAUUUAAAAGGGUUUCAAUGCAUCAACAAAACUUACUUCUACACAUUGUGUUUGUUAUAACAAAUGAAUUAUAUAGUUUGUGGAACCCUAAUCUCUUUAUUUCCUUGGCCUCAUAGUGGUUGAAAUUAAGUUUCACAAAAAAAACCAACUAUUUUCAACAUAAUUAGGAUGCUACUGGCUAAGUUUUAAUAGUAUUUCACUUUCUGGCACAUAAUCAUCAACUAAAAACACUUUUCAUCUUAAGGGAUCAAAACUUUAAUUUGGCAUUAAAAUUAGAAAGAUCAUAUCAUGGGGAGCAUGUGUACUAAAUUUCAAAUUGAAUGGACUUCGAAUGAAUGAAUGAAUUUUAUUUCUCAUAAACAACAAAUUACAUAGUUACAGACAAUAUAUAAACAAUUACAUUAAAUAUUGAAGCACUUCAACUACAUCAAAAACUACCUUGACCAAAAACUUAACCUGAACUUUGCACUUUCAUUUUCUAUACUCAGUGGCCGGUGAAAUUGGGGUCAAAACUUUAAUUUGGAGUUAAAAUUUGAAAGAUUAUGUCAUUUGGGACCAGGGGUUUUAAGUUUCAAGUUGAUUGGACUUCAACUACACCAAAAACUACCUUGACCAAAAACUUAAACCUAAAGUGGGACAGACGGAUGAACAGACAAAUGGGCUAACAGACAAUAUACUUAACUUUUUUGUUUUAAAAGAUAAACACAAGCGGAGUUUGGGGACAAAAAAAACUGGAAUAUCAUCUCUACAUAUUAAGAGUAUUUAAAUUUGCGAAUGGACAAUUCCUUUGAAAUAAUUCAUUUUCAUGUUUUCAUUAUUUUAGUAAAACAAAAACAUCAUUUUGGAUGUUUAAAUUAUCUAAUUUAGAAUAUAUCAUUGGUGAGUUCUUCAAAUUGGCACAAAUGAUCUAUAGACCGGAUUUUAGUAAAAGAAAAAACACAUCAUUUUUGGCUGUAUAUUUAUCUUAUUUAAAAAUUUUCCAUUGGUGUUUUCUUCAAAUUGGCACAAAUAAUCUUGAUACAUUUUCAAGCCUAAUGUCAUUUUUAAAAAGAGGGGUUCAUGAACUCAUUUUCAAGUUAAAUCAGUCUGAAUGAUAAAAAUCAGUCAAAGAAGGAAUCUUUUCUUAAUAUGUAACUAUUUGAAAUGGCGAAAAGUAACAUUGGACAUUAGCAACAUCAUUACCUCCCCUGUUACUGUAUCAUAUGGCCUUGACAGCAAAACAUAUCAGCCUCCCUAUAGAUUUUGAGGAACCUUGGCUGUCAAAAAGUUACAGUAAGUUAAGUUAUCAUUUAAAGGUGCAUAAACUAAAAUUAUGCACCUUUGACUUAAAAAAAAUUGGCCCUUAUUUAUAACAAUACUUAAAGAUAUGCUGUAGUAAUUUAAAAAGAUCUACGUGUUUCUGUUUCUAGUGCAUCUUCAUCAGGAUAAAAACCACAGGCCAGUACAAAAUGGUGAAGUGAUAGUUUGCACGUCACAAUGUCAACAAGGGGAGUAAUUAUAAAUAGAAAAGGAGAGUUGGUAUGAAAUCAAACUUUAAUAAAAAGAAUGUUCAAUAAAAUUUGUUGAAUAAUGUUCCCAUACAGAAAUUGCUAACAAAAGCACAUAAGUUUCACAUGUGAAGCACAUGAGAUGCAAGUAAGAAUUAUAUGCAAAUCAGGUUGCUCGUAUGUGCAGUUUGGUAGUUCAUAUGUGCCCACUAAAAUCUAACAUAAUGCUCACGUGUGCAAUUCAAACCUCAGGUGAGCUUUUAUCAUCCAUGUUAGUUUUAUGUUAGUUUUGUACCUUGAAAAGUUUUUCCAUUCUUUCUAACCAUUUAAAACUAACCUACAUCAUUGCUCAUAUGAGCUUUUUCAAAAUGACAUGCCCAGUCAUGUACUUCCUGUAAAUUCAAAUUCAUGAAAAGCAUGCAAUAAUUGGAGGGAGAUGGAUAUGAAAAAUAUUAAGUCCUACAUUGUGCUAUUUGAAGAAAAUAACAUUGUUGAAAUCUGAUAAAACCAGUGUGGCUGUGGUUAAUUAUUUGUAAGUUAUAUCAUUUCUAUUUCAUUAUGUUCAUUUUUGUGUCAGAUUUUGAAAUAUAUUACAAUUUUAAGUCCUUUAUGGGAAUAUUAUAUAUGCAGGUUGCUUCAAAAUUAGUACUACAUGUAUGAAGAACAAAUGAUAUGAAAAUCAUAAUUAACUGACAAUAAUUAAAUAAUAACUCUUUUAACAUGAUGUAUCAGUUAUUUUAUUUUCAACUGAAUUAUAUAUUUAAGAUUUUCAUUUAAAUUUGAAAACUAUUCCUAUUUUGAAGCAGCCAUUUUGUUUUGGUCAACUAUAAUAUUCAUGUGUGCAACUGCUCAUAUGAGCAAUCUAAUAAAAUGUGCAUGUGAAACAAAAGCUCAUAUGAGCAGUUGCACGUAAGGUUUUUAACAUGCAAAUUAGUUAGUUUCAUAUGUUUUUUUUGCUCACAAAAUGCUCACCUAUUUUGCAUGUAAAAACUGUGUGCAAUCAUGUUAGUUUAACGUGAGCAUCAUAUGUGCAACUUAUGUGCAACAUGUUAGCACUUUUUGGUAAGGGUUUGAUCAAAUUUUGCAGAGGUACAUGCUUCCAAUUGGCUUCCCUCAGAGUUACAUGCUUCUAAUUGGGACCGCUCUGCCAGGGGUACUACUUCUAAUUAGUUUUUGCAGACACAGGUAUAUAUGUACUGCUUCCAAUCAGCUUCACAACAAGACAGAGGGUGUGCUCCCAAUUAGCUUCACUAAGAGGUACGUACUUCCAAUUGGCUUCGCUCAGACAACCAUACUACUUCCUGUGAUGUAAUGGUAUGGAUUUGCAAGUCUAUACUACUUCUAUUGUUGAAAUGGUACAUAAUUGCAAUUAACUGUCGUCCAAAUUUGCAGAACAUAUUUCAUUCAACAUUCUUGAUCCAGUUUACUAUCUAUUUUUUUGUAGAUUUUGCAUUUACAAAAAUUAUAGACCGUUGGACAAAGUGAAAACUGUAGGGCUCCCACAUCCUCACAAGGGAGUCCUUAUGAUGUCCCUUUUGAGAUAUUGAAUUUUUGAUGAAUCCUGUUUCUAUAAAAGUAGAAGAGUAUUUUAUAUCAAAACGAUAACUGAAAUAGCAAAUCUUUUCGAUUUGUUUGUAAUUACACCACUUUUAAUUGGCAGAGAAAACUAGUGUAUCUUUUUGGUUGGGAUUCAAUAGUGUAAAGAAAAGAAGUUCAAGCCUCAAAAGCCAACUUUCAGGAAAUCCAUUUUUUGAUACAUGACGGGAAGACUUAAAAUAAAAAUCCUCUUUUUGUCAAGUAAACAAAUACCAAUUUCUAGUAUGCAGCUAUAAACAUUGGAAAACUUUGAAUUCAUUCUAAAAUUAUUAAUCCUUUCACUGCUAGUACACUUUUUUUCUUUUUCUUUUUCCAGAUUUUCUUAUCUAAAGCUUACUAGGGAGUUGUUUAGAAAAAUAAAAAAAUGUGUAAUUUAUCAUGUCAAAUCUACAAUUUGAAUUUAAACUAAAAAUUAUCACAACUUUUUUCUUCAUUUAUUAAAAUCAAAUUUUUAAAGUAUAUAUGAGGUUCAUAAUUCAAAACUGUUCAAAGAAAUAAUAAGGGUUUCCUGUUUCACUUAAACUACUUCAUAACAAAAUAAUUUCUAAUAAAAUCUAUUUGGCGCAAUGAGUAGUUAUUCUAUUUUCAAAGAUAUCAUGAUUUUUCAAGACCACAAAUAUUCAUUAACUGAUAUGCUUACAGAGUCUGUUCUCAUGAAUUCAUUAACAAGAAAUUAAGAACCAAUGAUUCUACCCUAUUCUCUGGCAAUUUAACUUAAAAAAAAAAACCAAGAAUGUGUGCAUUGUACACAGAUGCCCAACUCACAAUAUAAUUUUCCAUGUUCAGUGGACCGUGAAAUUGGGAUCAAAACUUUAAUUUGGCAUUAAAAUUAGAAAGAUCAUAUCAUGGGGAGCAUAUGUACUAAAUUUCAAGUUGAAUGGACUUCAACUUCAUCAAAAACUACCUUGACCAAAAACUUUAGCCUGAACUUCCCCACUUUAUUUUCUAUGUUCAGUGGCCAGUGAAAUUGGGGUCAAAACUUUAAUUCGGCAUUAAAAUUUGAAAGAUUAGAUCAAUUGGGACUAGGGGCACUAAGUUUCAAGUUGAUUGGACUUCAACUACAUCAAAAACUACCUUGACCAAAAACUUAAACCUAAAGCGGGACAGACGGACGAACGGACGAACAGACAAACGAAUGAACAGACAAAUGGGCGAAUGGACACACAGACCAGAAAACAUAAUGCCCCUCUACUACAUAGGUGGGGCAUAAAAAUUAAUUUAUUGUAUUUUACAUUUAAAUAAAAUUUAUUGAAAAUAAAAAACCCAAAGUUUUUUAUUACUGUGCUUACAAGCUAUUUAUUCACCUAGUUAAUUCAAUUAGGUAAUAAUAAAUGUACCUUCAUGUGCUACUUUUAUAGACAAACAGGGUCAAAUUUUUAGACAUUUCCCUCUAAAGGAAAAAAUAUACUCAAUUUUUUUGUUUUAAAAGAAUAACACAAGUGGAGUUUUGGAAAGAAAAAAAAAAUUGAAUAUCAUCUCUACAUAUUAAAGAGUAUUUUGAGUUAAAUUUGUGUACUGACAAUUCUUUUGAAAUAAUUCAUUUUCAUGUUUUCAUUAUUUAGUAAAAUAAAAACGUCGUGUUUUUAUGUUUAAAUUAUUUAAUUUAAAAUAUAUCAUUGGUGAUUUC
rnacentral:lncRNA from 1 species